UACGGAGGGUGCAAGCGUUACCCGGAAUCACUGGGCGUAAAGGGCGUGUAGGCGGGAUGUUAAGUCUGACUUUAAAGACCAUGGCUCAACCAUGGGAGUGGGCUGGAUACUGGCAUUCUAGACAACUGGAGAGGCGAUUGGAAUUACUGGUGUAGCGGUGGAAUGCGUAGAUACCAGUAGGAACGUCAAUGGCGAAGGCAGGUCGCUGGACAGUUUGUGACGCUGAGGCGCGAAAGUGUGGGGAGCAAACCAG
rnacentral:rRNA from 1 species